UUAAUUGAAACCAAAAACCAAGGUAUGUUAUUGUUAAUAACAUUAUUGAAUAUAAUUUUUCCAAUUAAU
rnacentral:tRNA from 1 species